GACGAACGCUGGCGGCGUGCUUAACACAUGCCAGUCGAACGGAAAGGCCCUGCUUUUGUGGGGUGCUCGAGUGGCGAACGGGUGAGUGACACGUGAGUAACCUGCCCUUGACUUUGGGAUAACUUCAGGAAACUGGGGCUAAUACCGGAUAGGAGCUCCUGCUGCAUGGUGGGGGUUGGAAAGUUUCGGCGGUUGGGGAUGGACUCGCGGCUUAUCAGCUGGUUGGUGGGGUAGUGGCUUACCAAGGCUUUGACGGGUAGCCGGCCUGAGAGGGUGACCGGCCACAUUGGGACUGAGAUACGGCCCAGACUCCUACGGGAGGCAGCAGUGGGGAAUAUUGCACAAUGGGCGGAAGCCUGAUGCAGCAACGCCGCGUGCGGGAUGACGGCCUUCGGGUUGUAAACCGCUUUCGCCUGUGACGAAGCGUGAGUGACGGUAAUGGGUAAAGAAGCACCGGCUAACUACGUG
rnacentral:rRNA from 1 species